UCAGCUGAUGUUGUUGAUAAAGGAAGUGGCUCACCCUGGAAGCCUGACCCUUGUCCUCUCUGAGAGAACCGCGCCAAAUUUCAGGGAGCCUUGUCAGAAUGGAAUACAGAUGAGUCUGCAGGGUCAGACACAGCUAAAUUGGAACAUGAGAAGAUGAACAACCACGUAUUGAAGAUUACAGAGUGACUAGGCUGACCACCGAUGGACACAAGACCCUCCCCCACCAGCUGAGUGGAGGUUGACCCUUGUCCCUGGGGAAGGCCCAACAGCCACAGCAGCCUGAUGCAGCUGUGUUUGCACUGUGCUCAAGCCUGUUGCUGUUGUUGUGUGGUGUUACUGAGCCCAAGAGUGUGUG
rnacentral:lncRNA from 1 species